CCCCCCCCAGGAACCCACGCCGAGGCCGCACGCCACAAAACCACAGCGGAUGCACGGGCUGCAAUAUACAAGACACGAUUUAUAAUAAAACAUUAUAUACAAUAAAUAGGUUAUUGUCACUUUUUUUGCCUUUGUUUUUUCUCUUUUUUUGUCUUUUUUUUUUUUUUUCUCCUCUUUUUUCUCGCUCUGUAAAUAAGUUUUCUCAGUGCACUCUGGUUUCUGCUCUUCUCUCCGCGUCUCCUCCCCUUUUUGCUUCAGGUUUUUCGCCACCAUCCGAUGCUCUCUCCACGUUUCCCCCCUUUUUUAUUUUAUUUUUAUUUUUAUUUUUUGGGGUGGGGGGGGAAAUGAAUUUUUUUGCCUUUUUGCUUUUGUAUUUUUAUCUUUUUUUAAUUUUUUUUUUAAAUUUUUUUUUCUCUCUCUUUUUUUUUUUUUUUUUACUUCAAAAGUAUUUACAAUUGCUGGUUUUUGUGCAGAAAACGAAACUUAAUAAAAAUUAAAAAAAAAAAUUAAAAAAAAAAUAAUAAUCAUUUCGAAAUCCGAAGAGUCCCCUCUGCUUCUGGCGGUGGGGGGGGGGGGGGGGGGGGGGGGGGGGGGGAGGGGGAGAAGCGGGGCCCCCUCCUCUCUCCUCUCCUCUCCUCUCUGCUCUCGGGGCCGGCGGAGGGCACGGGGAGCGCUGCUGGGGGGGCUGUGGGGAGAGGGGAGGGGGUGAGCGGCGGUGUUCCUCAAGGAGGGGGCGGGGGGGUCCCCAAUGGGUGGCACCCGUGGGUCCUGAACACCCCCAGCCAGCACCUAUGUACCCAGGGGUCUGGGGUCCUAGUCACCUCCAUCCAACACCCACACACCCAGAGGUCUGGCAUCCACGUGCUCAGGGGUCCGGGGUCCUGUUUUCUCCCCUCUCGCACCCACGUGCACCCAAUGGGCCCAGGGGGCUGCUCACCCCCACCCGACACUCGUGGACUCAGGAAUCUGUCACACCCAUGUACCCAGGGGUCUGGGUUCCUGCACAUCCCCCAUCCAACACCCACAUAUCUGAGGGUCUGGGGUCCUCAUAUUGCCCACCCAGCACUCAUGUACCCGGGGGUCUGGUGCCCAUCUACCUGGGGGUCUGGGGUCCUAGUCACCCCCAUCCUGCACCCACAUACCUCGGGGUCUGGUGCCCAUCUACCCAGGGCUCUGGGGUCCUGCACAUCCCCUAUCCAGCAUGCACAUACCCAGGGCUCUGGUGCCCAUCUGCUGGGGGGCCUGGGGUCCUGGUCACCCCCACCCAACACCCACACACCUGGGGGUCUGGGGUCCUCUUAAUGCCCACCCAGAACCCACAUACCCGGGGGUCUGGUGCCCAUCUACUCAGGGCUCUGGGGUCCUGCACAUCCCCUAUCCAGCAUGCACAUACCCAGGGGUCUGGUGCCCAUCUACCCAGGGGUCUGGGGUCCUGCUCGCCCCCCAGCCAACACCCACAUACCCCGGAUCUGGCACCCAUGUACACAGGGACGUGGGGACCCCGAGCCCCCCCCCACGUGGCACUUACUGGGCGACGGCUGCGUCUCGGGGACCCACGGCGAAGCCGCCCAAGUCUCCAGGCUGCGAGCUCUCCCAGCGCCCAUCGGGCAGCGUCCGGCACGACAAAACACCCCCAGCAAGCGAGCAAACGGGAGGGAAAAGAAAAAACCAAACCAGACUCCCCCCCCAGGGGCGGCCGAGGGGCCCCGUGGCACCGGGGAAGGGGGGUCCAGGCCACUGCCCCCCCGCGUCCGUCCGUCCGUCCGUCCGAUUGUCCUGCUGCGGGGGCAGUCCGGAAAGCAGCGCCGGGUCGGGGUGAGACGGAGCGG
ensembl:lncRNA